GGAAUUUUCCGCAAUGGGCGAAAGCCUGACGGAGCAAUACCGCGUGAGGGAUGACGGCCUAUGGGUUGUAAACCUCUUUUUUCAGGGAGGAAUCAAUGACGUGUACCUGAAGAAUAAGCAUCGGCUAACUCCG
rnacentral:rRNA from 1 species